rnacentral:lncRNA from 10 species
AGUAUUGACUACUCCAGUUUGAAGAUGCGGUCAAAACCUGCUAUGGAGAGACUGGGAAAGCUGACCGAGCCAGUGGCCCACUGGAGGGACCACAGCAGAGCAGACGGAGCAAUAACAUUCCAGAUGCUGGGGGAGGAGCACACCCCAAGGUCUUUGCAUGGCCCCGGAGUGCUGGGCCAGAUGUCACUCAGCCAAAGUGCUGGGAUUACAGGCGUGAGCCACCGCGCCGCCUCCUGUGUUUUUUUAACUGUUUGCUGGCUUUGUUUCUGUUUUACUUUCUAGAUUCUGUCUGAUUCUUGGCCAGGUCUGUUUCUGGCUUGUGUUCUGAUUUGUAUACAGCGACUUAUGGCCCCUUCAGUGAGGUUUUCAUGAUCUGACCAUUAGGCGAACUCUGCCAGACAGCAGACUGAGCAGGAAUUCUGAUUAUUGGUAGUAGAUUUUUGUUGUUCUUGUUUUGGUUUGUGUGUUUAUCUUGGAGAUCCCAAUGUCUCCUGGCUCCUCAGUUUUGUCUUUAUUGUUUAUAUACAGUGUGAGUGCAAUUUAUUCAAUUAGAAAAGGGC